CUCAGCUUUAUAAUCUGAUCCCUCAGAAAUUCAGAACAAGAAAGAUCUCCUUAGAAGAGUCUACAUAGAACAUGCUGAAUCAGCCUGCUGCAGACAGCCAGGUCUGUGCACGCCCUACUGAGGUCCUGAGCCACACAGAACAUGCCGAAUCAGCCCGCUGCAGACAGGCAGGUCUGCCCACACCCUACCAAGGUCCCCAGUCCUGUGGAAUAUGCUGAAUCAGCCUGCUGCACACAGGAAGGUCUGUGCACCCCCUAUGGAGGUCCUGAGUCAUGCGGAAGACACCGAAUCAAUCCGCUGCAGACAGGCAGCCACCUGGUUCCACACUACAAAGACACAGAGGACACCAGACCACCGGACCAAGGUCCCCAAGUAGAGAAAUAUCCAAAGUAUCCAUGGAGUGACACCAUGACCAAAAGGAGAAGAAACGAACAACAACAAAAACAAACCAAAACAACAACAGCCAAACACCAACCCACAGUGUUUCUUCUGUUGUUCAUGCACUGAGGUGACAUUUAUGAAGCACCAUGUGUCAAGGCAUAUAUUGCACCACUUGGUUAAAAAAUAAAACUCAUCUUCUGUGAUAUGUACUCUGUUAUUAAUGGCAGCUAAAGCCUUGUGUUGAAAAGGAUCCUGAGACUCAAUUUUGAGACAGACUCUCACUCAUAGUCAAGACAAUAUAAAAUGGAUAUAGACAUGCGAGUUUCACAAAUACCCAGCCUCUGCUAAAUAAUGACAUUCUGUACACCAUAGACUCUUAAAUAAAUGUGUUUUAAAGAAUAUUUUUGCAUAAUUUCUCCAUUUCUCAGAUCAACAAGCCAAAGUUCCAAAUUAGAGUCACACAUUUCAUGCAGUACAGAAAGUUUGAAGAAGAAAUAUAAUCAAUAUCUUCUUCUUUUACCUAGGUUCCUUCCCUAUAUUCCCACCUAUUCUAAGAUUGGCAAACCUAAAUCUGUGUGUGCAAUGAUGAAUUGUAUCUUGAUAAACAAUUUUGCUGUAAGAUUUUAAGUGAAAUCCAUUGGUUUUAUCCCUACUAAUAAGGCUAAGGAUAACACUGUGAAGGUUUGAGUGUGUGUUAGUAGCUUGGUCCCCAGUGUGGCAGUGGUUGGAGGUUUUGGAACAUUUAAGACAUGGGACCUGUUGAAUAGUAACUGACCCUUGCAAAGGAUUAAUGUAGAGUAAAUCAGUUCUGGGACAGUGGGAUUUUG
rnacentral:lncRNA from 1 species